AGUGAACGCUGGCGGUAGGCCUAACACAUGCAAGUCGAACGACAGCACAGUAAGAGCUUGCUCUUACGGGUGGCGAGUGGCGGACGGGUGAGGAAUACAUCGGAAUCUACUUUUUCGUGGGGGAUAACGUAGGGAAACUUACGCUAAUACCGCAUACGACCUACGGGUGAAAGCAGGGGAUCUUCGGACCUUGCGCGAUUGAAUGAGCCGAUGUCGGAUUAGCUAGUUGGCGGGGUAAAGGCCCACCAAGGCGACGAUCCGUAGCUGGUCUGAGAGGAUGAUCAGCCACACUGGAACUGAGACACGGUCCAGACUCCUACGGGAGGCAGCGGUGGGGAAUAUUGGACAAUGGGCGCAAGCCUGAUCCAGCCAUACCGCGUGGGUGAAGAAGGCCUUCGGGUUGUAAAGCCCUUUUGUUGGGAAAGAAAAGCAGCAGGUUAAUACCCCGCUGUUCUGACGGUACCCAAAGAAUAAGCACCGGCUAACUUCGUG
rnacentral:rRNA from 1 species